rnacentral:rRNA from 1 species
CACCCGUCCGCCAUGGCCCACCAAGGCUACGAUCAGUUGCUGGUCUGAGAGGAUGACCAGCCACAUUGGGACUGAGACAGGGUCCAAACUUAUACGGGAGGCAGCAGUGGGGAAUCUUGCGCAAUGGGCGAAAGCCUGACGCAGCCAUGCCGCGUGUAUGAUGAAGGUCUUAGGAUUGUAAAAUACUUUCACCGGUGAAGAUAAUGACUGUAGCCGGAGAAGAAGCCCCGGCUAACUUCGUGCCAGCAGCCGCGGUAAUACGAAGGGGGCUAGCGUUGCUCGGAAUUACUGGGCGUAAAGGGAGCGUAGGCGGACAUUUAAGUCAGAGGUGAAAUCCCGGAGCUUAACUUCGGAACUGCCUUUGAUACUGGGUGUCUUGAGUGUGAGAGAGGUAUGUGGAACUCCGAGUGUAGAGGUGAAAUUCGUAGAUAUUCGGAAGAACACCAGUGGCGAAGGCGACAUACUGGCUCAUUACUGACGCUGAGGCUCGAAAGCGUGGGGAGCAAACAGGAUUAGAUACCCUGGUAGUCCACGCCGUAAACGAUGAUUGCUAGUUGUCGGGAAGCUUGCUUCUCGGUGACGCAGCUAACGCAUUAAGCAAUCCGCCUGGGGAGUACGGUCGC